rnacentral:rRNA from 1 species
AUUGAACGCUGGCGGCAUGCUUUACACAUGCAAGUCGAACGGCAGCGCGGGCUUCGGCCUGGCGGCGAGUGGCGAACGGGUGAGUAAUACAUCGGAACGUGCCCAGUAGUGGGGGAUAGCUCGGCGAAAGCCGGAUUAAUACCGCAUACGACCUGAGGGUGAAAGCGGGGGAUCUUCGGACCUCGCGCUAUUGGAGCGGCCGAUGGCAGAUUAGCUAGUUGGUGGGGUAAAGGCCUACCAAGGCGACGAUCUGUAGCUGGUCUGAGAGGACGACCAGCCACACUGGGACUGAGACACGGCCCAGACUCCUACGGGAGGCAGCAGUGGGGAAUUUUGGACAAUGGGCGAAAGCCUGAUCCAGCAAUGCCGCGUGAGUGAUGAAGGCCUUCGGGUUGUAAAGCACUUUUGGCGGGAACGAAAAGGACUGUGCCAAUACCACGGUUCGAUGACGGUACCCGCAGAAUAAGCACCGGCUAACUACGUG